UACGUAGGGUGCAAGCGUUGUCCGGAAUUAUUGGGCGUAAAGGGCUCGUAGGCGGUUUGUUGCGUCGGCUGUGAAAUCCCGAGGCUCAACCUCGGGUCUGCAGUCGAUACGAGCAAACUAGAGUGUUGCAGGGGAGACUGGAAUUCCUGGUGUAGCGGUGAAAUGCGCAGAUAUCAGGAGGAACACCGGUGGCGAAGGCGGGUCUCUGGGCAACAACUGACGCUGAGGCGCGAAAGCGUGGGGAGCAAACAGG
rnacentral:rRNA from 1 species